UUAAUUAAAGCCAAAAAGAGGCAUAUUAUUGUUAAUAAUAUAAUUGAAUUAUUGUUCUAAUUAAA
rnacentral:tRNA from 1 species